AUGAGUCUGGACCCCACAAAAUCACUUGUGAAGGACGUUGUAGCUCUGAACAUGCCACGCCUCGAGGCUCGUCUUGAAGGUGCUCAAGGAUAUAUUGCUUGCCUGAAAGUUGCACUGGCGAAGAUCGACAAGGAGUUGUGGCCUGAGGAUACGCUUCAGAAUGACAUCGAGUCAAUGAUGGCUCCGCUCAACGAUAUCCCAGGUCGGGUGCAAGCAUGGAAGAAAUCUGUUGCCCGCUGCGUAGCUGAAGUGGCUCUCUCUAUCUUGUCUGAGUCCAUUGCAAGGAUGUCAAGGAAGAUAAACUGA
rnacentral:rRNA from 1 species